rnacentral:misc_RNA from 1 species
AGGUUCUCUUCCCACCAAAUCAUGAUGAGCCAGGCCACAAUUACGGCCGCGACAUUACUGCCCACACUAAACAGGGUGUGGCUCGAUCUCAACCUUCGAUUAUGAUUGUUAUAAUUGUAAUAUUCUUUUUGAUCAUCCCCGUCGAUAUUGGUCGACUGACUUUCCGACGAUGCGGUCUGUUGCAGCGAUGGCUCCGAGCCUGUAUUAAUCUCGUUCAACAUCGCCGCAUUAUGCCAAUAAUCGGUAUGUGCACUCAUCAUUGAUCCCUUCCCCAGAUCGACUUCGUCAGGAGCAUCGGCCACAAAUAAAC